rnacentral:lncRNA from 1 species
ACAGGUAGUUCUGACAAACUGAUGGCUACUCCAUAUUGCUAAAGCCAAUACCUACACAACUCAUUGAACAUGGAGGUAUUGUCUUUAGCAAUUAGGGCCUUCAUCCCUACAUGCAUCUUUGGUACAGGAAGCUACUCUGUUAGCUACCAAAGGAGAAACAUAUACACCAACCCAGCUACAAAUUUUUGUAUCUACAAUGGUGACCUGCCUGAUAUAUAUGCUAGUGCAGAGGUGGUACAGACCACUAUCGGUUUAGUAGUAAACCAAUAUCUUACACUUGACUUAAAACCCACUCCCUGAGAUGGAAGCCAUAUCCAACACUGUUUGGAUGACCAAGAAACUAAGUAUAUUUAGCCAAAGGACAGAGGGUAUCCAAAUACUAUUGUUAAAAAAACAAUACAAAACAUCAUCCCCCAAAAUAAAGCAAUAAGAUGACUCUUGAUGACAUUCUGCUAUUAUUAUAGAUCAGUGACUUGCUCAGCCAUCAUCAAAGAAGCUUCCUGGUACAUCAGAUGGUAAAAAUACAGAGGCCCACAGCCAGGCAAUAUCCAUAGUGAGAGACCUUGGAAGGCUCAGUUCUUAAAUGGAAUGUCUCUAUCAAAUCCCUCUCCUCAGGGCUCAGGAAAUUCUUCUGAAGAGGAUGCAGAGAGAGCCUUAGUCCCAGAGGGUAUGGAGGACACUAAAGAAACAAGACCCUUUAAGCACAGCAGGCCCAAGGUGCAUAGGAAUCCACGGAGACAGAGGCAGCACAGGUGGGGCCUGAGUGAGUCUGCACCAGAUGGAGACCGAAUUGAAAGAAAAAGCAGGUUCAUGCCUGCCAUCCUUAAGCCAGUAGC